GCCUGGCUGGCUCAGUCAGAAGAGCGUCUGACUCUCGAUCUCAGGGUUGUGGGUUCGAGCCCCAUGCUGCGUG
rfam:Ailuropoda melanoleuca scaffold1246_18, whole genome shotgun sequence.